GGGUCCAUAGCUCAGCCCGGUUAGAGCACUUGCCUUUUAAGCAAGGUGUCCUGGGUUCAAAUCCCAGUGGACCCA
rnacentral:tRNA from 1 species